rnacentral:rRNA from 1 species
CACGUAGGGCGCGAGCGUUGUUCGGAAUCAUUGGGCGUAAAGGGCGUGUAGGCGGCAGCGCAAGCGCGGCGUGAAAGGCCGGGGCCCAACCCCGGGAGUGCGCCGCGGACUGCGCAGCUGGAGCGGCCGGGGGGCAGCCGGAAUUCCUGGUGUAGGGGUGAAAUCUGUAGAUAUCAGGAGGAACACCGAUGGCGAAGGCAGGCUGCCGGCGGACCGCUGACGCUGAGGCGCGAAGGCGCGGGGAGCGAACAGG